rnacentral:rRNA from 1 species
UACGAAGGGGGCUAGCGUUGUUCGGAUUUACUGGGCGUAAAGCGCACGUAGGCGGACUUUUAAGUCAGAGGUGAAAUCCCAAGGCUCAACCUUGGAACUGCCUUUGAUACUGGAAGUCUUGAGUAUGGUAGAGGUUGGUGGAACUGCGAGUGUAGAGGUGAAAUUCGUAGAUAUUCGCAAGAACACCAGUGGCGAAGGCGGCCAACUGGACCAUUACUGACGCUGAGGUGCGAAAGCGUGGGGAACAAACAGGG